rnacentral:sRNA from 1 species
UGUGCAAGAAUGUGGAACUAGACAGCUCUACUGUAUGCGUGGAUCUGUGUGUGUCUGCGAGGCGCCGGCUUUCCGCCGUGUUUGUGCCUGGAGCAGAGAAACUGCGCAGGACAAGCAACCAGUCCCCAGCCUUGCUGGACUCGGGCGCCGCAAGUCCCCUCGGCUAGCAUAGCCUUCCGAGCGUCUCCUGGGAGGCUGGGGGAACCCCCGAAGCGAAGGGGAGGGCAGCAGUAGUAAUAGAGCGUAGUAGUUCGGGGGAAUGUGGAGACCGUGCUGGAAUUUAAGUGUGCCUGCGCCUGCCAGCUCGAGCCUGCAGAGAGAAAGGGAGGGGACGGCGGGGGCAGGACUCCGGGUGGCACCAAAGCUGUUUGUGGCAGUGUUGGCCGUGGAAAAAGAAAUGGGCAUUAUCAUACCAGCUGAAACUUUUUCGACCCCCGCCCCCUUCCCUCUUCCCUCAAGGCUGUCAUAAAUUUGCGUUCUUCCCACCCUUUCCCAACCCCCAGAGAAAAGGAAGGCGGCACAAAGAACGAGCUUGCCAAAUCUGUCUCAUCCCUAAAGGACUGCAAGCUUCCAAAUGCCAGAGAGGAGAAACAGCUGAGAGGCCGGCCGCCUAGUAAAUAAAUAAACCCAAAUAAACCCGCCUAACCCCUCUGUUUACUUCGGAAAGGCACGAAGCACUCUCACCUCCCCUCACCUGUCAUCUUCGAGUAAAUUAUACAUAAAAAUAUGGGAGGAGGGAACGACCCUAUGAGGGUAGGGCGGGAGAGUCAGGGGGCAGCUGAACCAUGGGAUCUGCUUUUGAUUUAAAAAGGGAAAUAAAUCUCAUUCUCUGCAGACCGAAGUCUCCUCUCUCUUCCACCCCACAUUUAAGACCAAUUAAGGCUACAAACUGCAAUUUGCCUGCACGUAGUGGUUUUGAGAGCUAGUGUUUCAGUUUUCCUUGAAAUACAGUACGCCUGCCGGACCCUAGGUCACUAUUUGGUGAGGCAGUUUUAUUUUUAGUUUUAUGAAGUGUGAAAGAAUGUUAGGAGAUUUUAAAUCAGAGGCCUAUUAUAUUAGACUCAGAUUAAUGUAGGUGCUUGACUCUUAAAAUUAAAACUGCUCCUAUGUGGUCGUGUUAUGAAAAGUAUGAUUUAUUCCUUAUUUUGCAAUGUAAUGGCUUAAAUUAGUCAUUCAAAGUGCACUGUGACUAUUUGGUUGAGGAUCCCUCCCACCCUAGGGUAAAAAAAAAUCCUAUUUUAAGAGGGUUUAUACUUUUACAGAAUUGACUGUGUGAGCAACUGGGUCUGAAGUGCCAUUCUGAGGAUGCUCAAGCUUAGAACUGGGUCCCUCCUCUGAAGAAUUGUCUUGUUUGUAGCUUGCACUGCAGCAAGUAAGAAUUUCAUCAAAGGAUUCUGAAACUCAUGAGAAAUAAAAGGCUGCAGCAUUUGCUCCACAAGAAAAACGGAGGGCAGUGUAUCCAGCUUCAUCUCUGUGGUGAAGCAAAACGUGACAAUUGAUGAUGCUGAGGAAGAAAAUGAGAGGCUCUUUUGUUUUGUACAAAAAAAUCACAGGAAAGCAACCUGGUUAGAGGCUAAAAGGACUCGGGGAAGCUGCACAGGAUGCUGUAGUCCCAGGAAGCUCUGCUUUAGGGACUUCGAUGAGUCAUAAUGUGUUCUCUGAAGUCGCUUUUUCUCUUUCUAGCAUGGUAGCAAGAGGUGGAAGUUGCUUUUUCAUGUCUGCUCGGCCACAUUUGCUUGUUAUGUAAGUCUUCUUUGGCAGAUGAGAGUGCUUCUAUAAAGUAGAGAGUGGGCUUAAAAACCAGUGUCUGGUUGCAACACCCUUGUGGAAAAAAAAUCACACGCACAGAAUUUGGAAGCUUAUAGUCCCUACAAAGCAUUGAUGUGAACUGGUACAUUAUUUCGCUUCAGGCCAGGGCAGGUAAGGCCAUUAGGGAAUGGGUAUUUCAUGUGUAGUAAGAGACACUGGAAUUUGAUAAAUUGAAUCCGCUGGCAUUUAAUUUACUGAAGGGUUUAGAAUUAGCAAGAAAACUGAUUAUAGAACUGAACACUAGUCUUUCCUUCUUCUCCCCUAAUAAACAAUUUUAAAGCCA